rnacentral:rRNA from 1 species
CUAUACAUGCAGUCGACGCUUCUUUUUCCACCGGAGCUUGCUCCACCGGAAAAAGAGGASUGGCGAACGGGUGAGUAACACGUGGGUAACCUGCCCUCAAGCGGGGGAUAACACUUGGAAACAGGUGCUAAUACCGCAUAACAAUAGUAAACACAUGUUUAUUAUUUGAAAGGCGCUUUUGCGUCACUUGAGGAUGGACCCGCGGUGCAUUAGCUAGUUGGUGAGGUAACGGCUCACCAAGGCCACGAUGCAUAGCCGACCUGAGAGGGUGAUCGGCCACACUGGGACUGAGACACGGCCCAGACUCCUACGGGAGGCAGCAGUAGGGAAUCUUCGGCAAUGGACGAAAGUCUGACCGAGCAACGCCGCGUGAGUGAAGAAGGUUUUCGGAUCGUAAAACUCUGUUGUUAGAGAAGAAUAAGGAUGAGAGUAAAAMGUUCAUCCCUUGACGGUAUCUAACCAGAAAGCCACGGCUAACUACGUGCCAGCAGCCGCGGUAAUACGUAGGUGGCAAGCGUUGUCCGGAUUUAUUGGGCGUAAAGCGAGCGCAGGCGGUUUCUUAAGUCUGAUGUGAAAGCCCCCGGCUCAACCGGGGAGGGUCAUUGGAAACUGGGAGACUUGAGUGCAGAAGAGGAGAGUGGAAUUCCAUGUGUAGCGGUGAAAUGCGUAGAUAUAUGGAGGAACACCAGUGGCGAAGGCGGCUCUCUGGUCUGUAACUGACGCUGAGGCUCGAAAGCGUGGGGAGCAAACAGGAUUAGAUAC